rnacentral:rRNA from 1 species
UACAGAGGUCCCAAGCGUUGUUCGGAUUCAUUGGGCGUAAAGGGUGCGUAGGCGGCGCGGUAAGUCGGGUGUGAAAUCUCGGAGCUUAACUCCGAAACUGCAUUCGAUACUGCCGUGCUUGAGGACUGGAGAGGAGACUGGAAUUUACGGUGUAGCGGUGAAAUGCGUAGAUAUCAGGAGGAACACCGGUGGCGAAGGCGGGUCUCUGGGCCGAUACUGACGCUGAGGAGCGAAAGCGUGGGGAGCGAACAGG